AUUGAACGCUGGCGGCAGGCUUAACACAUGCAAGUCGAGCGGAGAUGAGGUGCUUGCACCUUAUCUUAGCGGCGGACGGGUGAGUAAUGCUUAGGAAUCUGCCUAUUAGUGGGGGACAACAUUCCGAAAGGAAUGCUAAUACCGCAUACGUCCUACGGGAGAAAGCAGGGGAUCUUCGGACCUUGCGCUAAUAGAGGAGCCUAAGUCGGAUUAGCUAGUUGGUGGGGUAAAGGCCUACCAAGGCGACGAUCUGUAGCGGGUCUGAGAGGAUGAUCCGCCACACUGGGACUGAGACACGGCGCAGACUCCUACGGGAGGCAGCAGGGAGGAAUAUUGGACAAUGGGGGAAACCCUGAUCCAGCCAUGCCGCGUGUGUGAAGAAGGCCUUAUGGUUGUAAAGCACUUUAAGCGAGGAGGAGGCUACUGAGACUAAUACUCUUGGAUAGUGGACGUUACUCGCAGAAUAAGCACCGGCUAACUCUGUGCCAGCCGCCGCCGUAA
rnacentral:rRNA from 1 species